GGGGCUGUGGCUCUGUGGUGGCAGCAUCUGGUUGCCAUGCAGAAGGUCCCAAGUUCAAUUCUGGCUGUCUCCA
rnacentral:tRNA from 1 species